CUUGGUCAUUUAGAGGAAGUAAAAGUCGUAACAAGGUUUCCGUAGGUGAACCUGCGGAAGGAUCAUUAUCGAAAUUAUUGGUGAGGGUUGUAGCUGGCCUUUCGAGGCAUGUGCACGCUCGAGCCCUUAAUCCACUUUACACCUGUGCACUUAAUGUAGGUCGCCCUUAAAAAAGGUGACCUAUGUCUUAUCAUCAACCCAUCGUAUGUCUCAUAGAAUGUAAUCGAUAUCCUCGCCCUAAAAAAGCGUUGAUAAACUUAUACAACUUUCAACAACGGAUCUCUUGGCUCUCGCAUCGAUGAAGAACGCAGCGAAAUGCGAUAAGUAAUGUGAAUUGCAGAUUUUCAGUGAAUCAUCGAAUCUUUGAACGCACCUUGCGCUCCUUGGUAUUCCGAGGAGCAUGCCUGUUUGAGUGUCAUUAAAUUCUCAACUCCAAGGGUUUCACGACCUUUCGGAGAUUGGACUUGGAGGUGCUGGCCGCAUAUUGGUCGGCUCCUCUCAAAUGCAUCAGCGGAAUUCAACCUUUGGCUUCCGGAUGUCAGUGUGAUAAUCAUGUUGCGCUGUCGUUUGAUCCCUCAGAGUCCGCUUAUAAUGGUCUUCGGACAAAAUCAUCAUCAAAUUUGACCUCAAAUCAGGUAGGACUACCCGCUGAACUUAAGCAUAUCAAUAAGCGGAGGAC
rnacentral:rRNA from 1 species